rnacentral:tRNA from 1 species
CAGAGAGUAGUUUAAAAAAAAAUAUUAAUUUUGGGGAUUAAAGAUGAAGAUAUUUUUCUCUGA